AUGUCAACCGGGGCCCACAUGGAUCUAGAGGCGGAGCCGGGCGGCGUCCCGGCGGCCGCCCCACCACCGCCGGCCGACGUUGGCAAUGUUCGCAAAGAUCUAUUCCUCGCGUACAAGACUCUCGGCGUGGUCUUCGGUGGCCUCGUUACCUCUCCGCUCUAUGUUUUUUCCACGAUGCACAUGUCAUCCCCCACAGAAGCUGACUUUCUGGGAAUAUACAGCAUAAUGUUUUGGACUCUUACUUUAAUUGGUGUCGUCAAGUAUGUAGGCAUAGCUCUCAACGCUGAUGAUCACGGUGAAGGUGGUACAUUUGCCAUGUAUUCUCUGUUGUGUAGGCAUGCCAAUAUGGGCAUCCUUCCUUCCAAGAGAGUGUAUUCAGCAGAAGAACAGCUGCUUCACAAUCAGUCAAAAACAACUAAAACCCCUAGUAAUCUGGGCAAGUUCUUUGAGCGAAGCUUAACUGCAAGAAGGGUAUUGUUAUUCAUGUCAAUUCUUGGGAUGUGCAUGCUCAUUGGAGAUGGUGUCCUAACUCCUGCUAUUUCAGUGUUAUCAGCAAUCCAGGGACUGCGCGCGCCAUUUCCUGCUGUGACUCAACCUGUCGUGGCAUUUCUAUCUGCGGCAAUUCUUAUUGGCUUAUUCUUAGUGCAAAAGUAUGGGACUUCAAAAGUGAGCUUUCUGUUUUCUCCAAUCAUGGCAGCAUGGACUUUCACCACUCCGAUGGUUGGAAUAUACAGCAUUUUUCGUUACUACCCCGGCAUAUUCAAAGCCACUUCGCCACAUUAUAUUGUUCAUUUCUUCCUAAAGAAUAAAAAGGAAGGGUGGCAGAUGCUUGGUGCCACUGUUCUAGCCAUCACAGGUGCGGAAGCUAUGUUCGCCGAUCUUGGCCACUUCAGCAAAAAGGCUAUUCAGAUAGCGUUUCUAUCCAGCGUAUAUCCUUCUCUGAUCCUCACUUAUGCCGGGCAAACAGCAUGCCUUAUUAACCAUCUCAAAGACACCGAUCAAGAGAACAUUGGCAAAGUCUUCGAUGAUGCAUUCUACAAAUUUAUCCCUCGCCCUGUUUACUGGCCGAUGUUCGUCAUCGCGACGCUCGCAGCCAUUGUUGCAAGCCAAUCCUUAAUCUCGGCAACAUUUUCUGUCAUCAAGCAAUCAGUUGUCCUGGACUACUUCCCACGUGUCAAAGUGGUGCACACAUCGGAUGAAAAUGAAGGGGAGGUUUACUCGCCAGAAACUAAUUACAUUCUGAUGGUGCUGUGCGUUGGUGUUAUACUAGGCUUUGGAGGUGGACAAGCGAUAGGGAAUGCUUUUGGCCUUGUGGUGAUCAUGGUCAUGCUCAUAACCUCAAUCAUGCUGACUCUUGUGAUGAUCAUCAUAUGGAGAACGCCGCCCGUUCUCAUCGCGGCGUACUUCGUCCCGUUCGUCAUCAUGGAAGGGUCCUAUGUCAGUGCCGUCUUCACCAAGUUCACGGAAGGUGGCUGGCUUCCCUUCGCCAUCUCCAUGAUCCUCGCCUUGAUCAUGUUCGUCUGGUACUACGGCAGGCAAAAGAAAACAGAGUACGAGAGGGCGAACAAGAUAACCGCGGAGCGCCUCGGCGAGCUCUUGGCGAAGCCGGAGGUCCAGAGGGUGCAGGGCCUGUGCUUCUUCUACAGCAACAUACAGGACGGGCUGACCCCCAUACUCGGCCACUACAUCCGCAACAUGAGCUCGCUGCACUCGGUGACGGUCUUCGUGACCCUGAGGUACCUGCUGGUUCCCAAGGUCGACCCGCGGCAGAGGAUCGCGGUCAGGAGGCUCGGGCCGAGAGGGGUGUACCAGUGCACCGUCCAGUACGGCUACGCCGACAACCUGAGCCUCAAGGGCGGCGACGACCUCGCCGCGCGCGUCGUGAGCUGCCUGAAGCAGCACGUCGAGGCGGGCGCCGACGGGCAGCCGUCGCCCGUCUCCGCCGCGGAGGAGGCGGCGGACCUGGAGGCGGCGCGGGCGGCCGGGGUGGUGCACGUCCGGGGCAAGAUGAGGCUCUACGUGGGCGACGACGCCGGCUGGUUCGACAAGGUGAUGCUCCGGUUCUACGAGUUCCUGCACAGCAUCUGCCGGUCGGCGCUGCCGGCCCUCGGGGUGCCCCUGCAGCAGCGCGUCGAGAUCGGCAUGCUCUACAAGGUCUGA
rnacentral:rRNA from 1 species